AUGGUGGAGGAUAUUAAGACAGUAGUGUCAAAGGAGAGUUCAUCAGGAACACCACUCAUGAAUCACUCUGGAGCAUCUAGUAAAAGUACCAUGAUACUUCCAGUGUAUGUUUCACAUAAAGAGAACCCAGAUAGAGAGAGGUUAGUUUAUGCACUACUCGACACACAGUCGGAUACCACCUUUAUUUUAGACAAGACUUCAAAGGCCCUUGGACUUGAAGGAAAACCUGUGAAGCUCAUGCUUUCUACCAUGUAUGCAGAGAAUAAAGCUGUAGAUAGUUGUAAGAGUCAGCUGUCUUACUUUCCGAUGUCUAUAUUUGAUUGUGAACAUAGGAUACCAUUACCGGAAACGUACACAAGAGAGAUCAUGCCUGCCAACAGAUCUCAUAUUCCGACACCGGAAAUUGCAAGAAGAUGGCCUCACUUGGAGGUUAUUGCAGAUGAACUUCUACCUCUUGCUGAUUGCGAGGUUGGAUUACUUAUUGGCUACAACUGCGUGAAGGCUUUGACGCCUAGAGAUGCUAUCGUUCCAUCCGUAGACGGACCUUAUGGCCAACGCACUGACUUGGGGUGGAGUGUAAUAGGCAUAGUAGAGAAUGACUGUUCAACGGAAUGGGAUGAGGACCCCAUAGGAAUUAGUCAUCGUAUUGUUGCGUGCGAUGUGCCUACAGAACUUUGCAGAUCUGAAGUUUCAAGACCAGACCAUGUUGUAUUUUCCUUAAGGAACAAGAUAAAGGAAGUAAUCAACCCUGAAGAGGUAGUUAGGAUGCUUGAAGUGGACUUUAGCGAGAACUCAAAUAGUUCUAAACACAUUUCCUAUGAAGACAGAAAAUUUCUGGAUGCCAUGGAAAAGGGGAUUCAUAAGCUGGAUGGGCAUUAUGAAAUGCCAUUACCUUUCCAAGAAGCUAUGCCAUACCUGAGCAAUAAUAGAGACAUGGCAUUACAGCGACUGCAACAUUUGCGGAACCGAUUUGCAAAGGAUGCACAGUAUUGCGAGCAUUACAUUUCCUUCAUGAGAGAAUUGAUUUUGAAGGGUUUUGCAGAAAGAGUACCGGAAAAGGAAAUCAACGUUGAUAGUGGACAAGCAUGCAAGCCAAGUAUAUCAGAGGACGAUCCUGAGGUUAAGCGUUGCCAGGUGUUUGAGACGAAGGUGGAACCUACUGAAUAUACGUCACUAAUUGACUAUUUAGAACGUUGUUCUGAUUGGAAUCGUGCCAAGAGACUCAUAGCAAACUGUCUUAAGUUCAAGACGUUGCUUAGAAAGAUUCCUUGUCAGAAGGCAACAGAUGCAGUGCCUUCAAAGGAGCAAGGAUUGCCUGUAGCUUUAUUAGAGGAAGCAGAAUUGGCCAUUGUGAGAUUAGUCCAGAAAGAGGCCUUUAGUGAGGAAUUGAAAAUUCUGAACAACACCAAGGGAUGUGAAGAUGUUAACAGAAAGAAGUCUGUUCGAAAAACAUCCUCCCUUUACCGACUCGAUCCAUUUCUGGAUAAUAAUGAUGUUUUACGAGUUGGGGUCGUUUGCAGAAGGGAGAAUUUACGUCUUAUGUUAAGCACCCAAUCAUUUUACCAAGGAAGUCGCAUGUUACAAGGCUUAUCAUCAGACACUUUCAUGAACGCAGCAGACACCAAGGACGAAGUAUCACAACCAAUGAGAUUAGAUCAAAUGGUAAGCACAUGGUGCAGCAAAGUCAGGAAAACCCUCAUAUAUUACGAAAAUAAGGCACAAGGAGUUUCACGGUGA
rnacentral:sRNA from 1 species